GACGAACGCUGGCGGCGUGCUUAACACAUGCAAGUCGAACGGAAGGGCCCUGCUUUUGUGUGGUGCUCGAGUGGCGAACGGGUGAGUAACACGUGAGUAUCCUGCCCUUGACUUUGGGAUAACUUCAGGAAACUGGGGCUAAUACCGGAUAGGAGCUCCUGCAGCAUGGGGGUGGUUGGAAAGUUUCGGCGGUUGGGGAUAGACUCGCGGCUUAUCAGCUGGUUGGUGGGGUAGUGGCUUACCAGGGCUUUGACUGAUAGCCGGCCUGGGAGCGUGGACAGGGACAAGGGGACUAAGAGAGGGAGCAGACGGCAACGGGAGGCAGCGGUGGGAAGUAUGGCACAGUGGGGGCGCGCGUGUGACGACGGUGUUGCGUGCGGGAUGCCGUGCUUCGGGUGAUGAACCGCUUUCGCCUGAGACGAAGCGUGAUUGACGGUAAUGGGUCAAGAAGCACCGGCUAACUACGUG
rnacentral:rRNA from 1 species